rnacentral:rRNA from 1 species
UGACGAGUGGCGGACGGGUGAGUAAUGUCUGGGAAACUGCCUGAUGGAGGGGGAUAACUACUGGAAACGGUGGCUAAUACCGCAUAACGUCGCAAGACCAAAGAGGGGGACCUUCGGGCCUCUUGCCAUCAGAUGUGCCCAGAUGGGAUUAGCUUGUUGGUGAGGUAACGGCUCACCAAGGCGACGAUCCCUAGCUGGUCUGAGAGGAUGACCAGCCACACUGGAACUGAGACACGGUCCAGACUCCUACGGGAGGCAGCAGUGGGGAAUAUUGCACAAUGGGCGCAAGCCUGAUGCAGCCAUGCCGCGUGUAUGAAGAAGGCCUUCGGGUUGUAAAGUACUUUCAGCGGGGAGGAAGGUGUUGUGGUUAAUAACCGCAGCAAUUGACGUUACCCGCAGAAGAAGCACCGGCUAACUCCGUGCCAGCAGCCGCGGUAAUACGGAGGGUGCAAGCGUUAAUCGGAAUUACUGGGCGUAAAGCGCACGCAGGCGGUCUGUCAAGUCGGAUGUGAAAUCCCCGGGCUCAACCUGGGAACUGCAUUCGAAACUGGCAGGCUUGAGUCUUGUAGAGGGGGGUAGAAUUCCAGGUGUAGCGGUGAAAUGCGUAGAGAUCUGGAGGAAUACCGGUGGCGAAGGCGGCCCCCUGGACAAAGACUGACGCUCAGGUGCGAAAGCGUGGGGAGCAAACAGGAUUAGAUACCCUGGUAGUCCACGCCGUAAACGAUGUCUACUUGGAGGUUGUGCCCUUGAGGCGUGGCUUCCGGAGCUAACGCGUUAAGUAGACCGCCUGGGGAGUACGGCCGCAAGGUUAAAACUCAAAUGAAUUGACGGGGGCCCGCACAAGCGGUGGAGCAUGUGGUUUAAUUCGAUGCAACGCGAAGAACCUUACCUGGUCUUGACAUCCACGGAACUUUCCAGAGAUGGAUUGGUGCCUUCGGGAACCGUGAGACAGGUGCUGCAUGGCUGUCGUCAGCUCGUGUUGUGAAAUGUUGGGUUAAGUCCCGCAACGAGCGCAACCCUUAUCCUUUGUUGCCAGCGGUCCGGCCGGGAACUCAAAGGAGACUGCCAGUGAUAAACUGGAGGAAGGUGGGGAUGACGUCAAGUCAUCAUGGCCCUUACGACCAGGGCUACACACGUGCUACAAUGGCGCAUACAAAGAGAAGCGACCUCGCGAGAGCAAGCGGACCUCAUAAAGUGCGUCGUAGUCCGGAUUGGAGUCUGCAACUCGACUCCAUGAAGUCGGAAUCGCUAGUAAUCGUGGAUCAGAAUGCCACGGUGAAUACGUUCCCGGGCCUUGUACACACCGCCCGUCACACCAUGGGAGUGGGUUGCAAAAGAAGUAGGUAGCUUAACCUUCGGGAGGGCGCUUACCACUUUGUGAUUCAUGACUGGGGUGAAGUCGUAACAAGGUAACCGUAGGGGAACCUGCGGUUGGAUCACCUCCUUACCU